rnacentral:rRNA from 1 species
CCUACGGGCGGCAGCAGUGAGGAAUAUUGGUCAAUGGCCGGAAGGCUGAACCAGCCAUGCCGCGUGAAGGUCAGUGCCCUAUGGGCGUUAAACUUCUUUUGUGCGGGAGCAAUAAUGGUCACGUGUGGCCAGACGAGAGUACCGUACGAAUAAGCAUCGGCUAACUCCGUGCCAGCAGCCGCGGUAAUACGGGGGAUGCAAGCGUUAUCCGGAUUUAUUGGGUUUAAAGGGUGCGUAGGCUGUGAGGUAAGUCAGCGGUGAAAUGCCCCCGCUCAACGGGGUGAAGUGCCAUUGAUACUGCCUGGCUGGAAUGCGGAUGCGGUGGGAGGAAUGUGUGGUGUAGCGGUGAAAUGCAUAGAUAUCACACAGAACACCGAUUGCGAAGGCAUCUCACGAAUCCGCGAUUGACGCUGAUGCACGAAAGCGUGGGUAUCAAACAGGAUUAGAUACCCGAGUAGUC